UGCCCAUUUAAGUGUUCUUCCGCCACAGCAGCUUUAGGUAUUCAUCGAGGAAAGCGCUUUCGCCGAUGGAGCCAUAAACUGGAGAAAAGGACGCCCCGGACAAAGGGGCCAUUCCGUCAUUAAAUCGAACGGUUUGGAAUGGCCAUGGUAGGGUGCGCGACACGACCUCGACAACCCCAGAGGCGGAGGUGAGAUACCUUUCCAGCACACAUCCACCAUUCUAUUCAGGGAUAAACAGUGUCUCCCGGUUAAGCAUUUUCGUCGUGACACGCUACUUCAUUCGCGGUAUAAUGCGUAUAGGCCACCAGCAGGAGGGGGGCAAGAACAUCACUCCAAUAGCCGACGAGCAGAGGCCGGAAACCCAAAGCGUGUGCUUCCCUUCGCUGAAUAACAGCUAGCCUGGCAGGAUUUAUAUACACAGACGUGCGUAGGUGACACGUUACACA